rnacentral:rRNA from 1 species
UAGUCCACGCCCUAAACGAUGUCAACUAGCUGUUGGGGCCGUUAGGCCUUAGUAGCGCAGCUAACGCGUGAAGUUGACCGCCUGGGGAGUACGGUCGCAAGAUUAAAACUCAAAGGAAUUGACGGGGACCCGCACAAGCGGUGGAUGAUGUGGAUUAAUUCGAUGCAACGCGAAAAACCUUACCUACCCUUGACAUGUCUGGAAAGCCGAAGAGAUUUGGCCGUGCUCGCAAGAGAACCGGAACAC